ensembl:lncRNA
GAGCAUGUUCCAAUCUGUGUCAGGAAGACCGCAAAUCUGACUGCCUCUCACACUCCUUCCCUCCACCGUUUCCGUCUCCUUUCUUCCCUCAACACUGAUUCACAGAGCUGAGUGCACAGAGGGAAUGGGCUACCUCCAGCUCCAUGCCUCGGGACGGGGGCGGAGGGGCGGUUGAUUCUGGAAAGAGCGCUGGAUCAAGUGACCUAGCUGUGGCCUAGGCACCUGAAACCUUUUAUCUUCCUUGUCUGAAAACCUGUGCCAAAGGGAAUCCAAGCAGGAUCUUUUCUCUUGUCUCGAUUUUCAGCUGAGCCUGAGACAGAGGGGAGAAUGCGCUUAGUUCGCCCUAACCUAAACGCAGACAGCCACGGGAUCACGGAGAAGCGGGGAUGCUGCAGAGGACGUGGCCUUGUUGCUGGCCAAACUCUUGGCCUUCUCUGCCCGCUGAAGCCAGAUGAAAAAUACGGAGACAGAGUUUGCAGGAAAUAGAAAGGUGGCUUUCUCAGCCAGCGGAGAGGGGAACACGCCUGACCGCGUUCCUCCCCACUCCCCACCCCAAGGAGCAACCACCCCGUCUGAAGAGACUCCAUGGGCCCCCUCUGCUAAGAGUGUUUGUUUCAUGGAAAGAGCCUAUUCCUUCUCCACUCUCCUGGUGGGGGAAGCCCAACAGAAUCGUCCCUGAGUGAAUGGUCAGACCCGACUGAGCAACAGGAGCAUGAGACGUUUAUUGCUUUGUGUCAAAUCAAGGUUACAGUUCUUCACAGAAACCCUUUGAAAUUGAAUUUUUAAAAAUGCCAGGGCUCCCCCUGCAGGACAUUUGGAGCAACCACAGACGCCUCGAGGGCGGCCUGCAUCAGCCCCAGAUUCUCUGUCAUCAGCAAAGCGGAACCUUCCCCCGAUCCGGGGCCACCACCACCCUCCAUCCGAGUCAGAGUGUGGGUGCUUCUUUUCACCCUGCAUGAGAUGGACAGAGCCUGCUUCUCGUUCAUUCAGUCAUUUGUGGGGAUUUUCCCAGCUGACUGAUGUUAUUCGAAAUGGAAAAGAUGGAAACCUCAGAAGCGAAUGGUUUUCAAACACGGAGGCCAGGAGUACAUGUCCUGCUAUUUUCCACCCACCCCGGUAAAGGAUUUUGCACUGUUGAUUUAUUCCAACAAGCAGAUUUUUAAAAAUUAAUUUUUAUUGGAGACUUGCUUUACAGCGCUAUAUACAUUUCUACCGUACAGCAAAAUGAGCCAAUCAUACAUAUACAUACAUGCCCUCCCGUCCAGACGUUCCCAUUCGGGCCACCACGGGGCAUUAAAUAGAGUUCCCUGUACUGUACAGUAUGUUCGUAUAGGUCACACAGGUCAUGUCCGACUCUGUGUGACCCUAUGGAUUGUGGCUCGCCAGGCUCCUCUGUCCAUGGGAUGCUCCAGGCAAGAAUACCACGCCCUCUUCCAGGGGAUCUUCCAGACCCAGGGAUCAAACUCACAUCUCCUGAGGCUUCUGCACUGGCAGGCGGACUCUUUUGCUUUUUGUUUUACCGCUGAGCUGCCUGGGAAGCCCUAUCUAUUGUAUACACAGUAUGAAUAGUGAAUAUGUCUCAAGCCCAAUCUCCCCGUUCCUUCUAUCCCUCUCUUUCCCACUUGGUAUUCAUGCAUUUGUUCCCUACAUCUGUGUGUUUAUUUCUGCUUUGCAAAUAGGAUCAUCUGUACCAUUUUUCUAGAUUCCACAUCUAUGUGUUAAUAUAUGAUAUUUUUUUCUCUUUCUGACUUCCUUCAUUCUGUAUGACAGUCUCUAGGUCCAGCCACAUUACUACGAAUGACCCAGUUUCC